GUUAGGAUGGCCGAGCGGUCAGGUCGGCACUGCGUUCAGUUCGCAGUCCAGUUCUAUGGGCGAGGGUUCGAAUCCCUCUUCUGACA
rnacentral:tRNA from 1 species